rnacentral:lncRNA from 1 species
AUGGGAAACUGGAAGAAAGUUCCUUAACAGUGAAACUUUGGAGCCUCCAAAGAGCCUCGGAGCUAUGAAUUUAUAGGAGAGUGAGCCCGUUUUUCUCAAGUUAAAACAUCAGAUAUUUUGCCAAGUCCAAGCCACUGAGACAGGUAGGCUGAAUACAUGGAACAUAACAAUGGAGAUAUUGAAGGAGAUUUAAGUUCUUUUUAGUAUCCUGUCUGACAGUAGCCAGUAGUGCAUAUCCA